rnacentral:misc_RNA from 1 species
AGUUUGGGACUCGCUUUGUUCUGYCGUUCGGCGUCUCCAUUUGGAGACGUCGUCGGAUCGUUCGGUGUGUCUCGACUGGUGAUGGGACGACGCAUGAGUGGCGAUCUAGAUAUGUUUCCUUGCAGGCUCCAUGCUUUUGGUAUCGAACUGCAUCGGCUUAUCUUCUUCAUUAUGGAGCUUGCGUCGCUUGCGAUCGCUCGUUGGGUUGCUGCGUUUUCUAUCGAAUUCGACAUUUGGAUGGGCUUCAGGUCCCGUCUCGAUUUGUGGAUCCCCGCUCGCCUCGUGCGUUGGCGGUGGUAAAUUUGUGUGCAUCGUCGUUGAUCUUACGAGCUGCAGUGACUAAUGUGGAGCUGCGUUCGUGAUGGGACGUCGAUGCAGUCGGCUCUCUCGGGUGCAAAGAAUUUCUAGUCAUCGCAUCGGUCCAAGACCCUUGUGAGCGUAACGUUUUGAAUCAUUGUUGCUUUCGCUUUAACGACCCUCGUUCUCGUCCAGGAGCUCACGGAGCUUGUUCGUUCCGUGUUGUAACUGGAGAGCCAUCGAGGUCGAGGACGGAAUCUACCUGGUUGAU